rnacentral:rRNA from 1 species
AACGAACGCUGACGGCAUGCCUAACACAUGCAAGUCGAACGAGAUCUUCGGGUCUAGUGGCGCACGGGUGCGUAACGCGUGGGAAUCUGCCCUUUGGUUCGGAAUAACAGUUGGAAACGACUGCUCAUACCGGAUGAUGACGAAAGUCCAAAGAUUUAUCGCCAGAGGAUGAGCCCGCGUAGGAUUAGCUAGUUGGUGUGGUAAAGGCGCACCAAGGCGACGAUCCUUAGCUGGUCUGAGAGGAUGAUCAGCCACACUGGGACUGAGACACGGCCCAGACUCCUACGGGAGGCAGCAGUGGGGAAUAUUGGACAAUGGGCGAAAGCCUGAUCCAGCAAUGCCGCGUGAGUGAUGAAGGCCUUAGGGUUGUAAAGCUCUUUUACCCGGGAUGAUAAUGACAGUACCGGGAGAAUAAGCUCCGGCUAACUCCGUGCCAGCAGCCGCCGUAA